GAUACUGUAGCUCAGUGGAUAGAGCGUCCGCCUCCUAAGCGGCAGGGCGGUCGUUCAAUUCGGCCCAGGAUCA
rnacentral:tRNA from 1 species